GCUAAAGAUAUAAAAAAUUAGCCCGGCGUGGUGGUGCACGCCUGUAAUCCCAG
rnacentral:antisense_RNA from 1 species